AAACCCAUCCAACUAGCAGUUCAAAGGCACGAGAGAAGCUUGGGGCCUAAGUGCACCCCAGCCAUGGCGCAGCGGGAUCUGGGGCAGAGUGAAAUGGACAUCUAUGCUCAGCUCAGCCUAGAACGUGAUCCUGGUCAUUGUCCUACAAAGGCUGUGUGUUUGGGGAGAGCUCUGAGAGCGCAGUGGAAAGGGAACUUGUUUGUCAGAGUCAAGAGUGACCCACUCCCUGGAACAGAACUGCCCUGGUUCUGGGUGGGCAUGGUGGAUGGAUCUCACCAGGGGACAGCAGCAGGUCCAGCCUGGUGCUUCCAUAGAAGGCUCCAGGCAGAGAAAAGAAGACCAAAGGUUGUAAAGGCAGCAUUAUUCAAGCACCUACUGCCUUUGUGGGCCUCUGGUGUAGUUUUAUUUUUUUCAUUGUCAUUCUCUGGUCUGUUUUCUGUUUUUGCUUUGCACUUCCUGCUUUUUUAUUAACCCAUACACAAUUACUUGUUGUCUGAUUUUACUGAAGCUACAAGUCAGACAAUAAAUACUUGCUGCAGUAAUGUCUGUCCAUGUGGCUGACUAUAAGCACUUCAGAAUAUGUUCAUCCAAAGGGCAUUUUUAAAUGAAGGUGAUUAAUUUCGCCAUUUUCGUUUAUCUUAUAGCAUUUCAGGACAGACAGCUUACCCCACCACCUCUUCUGUUUACUCUUCUUGGUGGUGGUGUAAGACUUCUUCUUUUCCUAACACCUCCACAAAGUCUCAACACAAGGAGAAGGAGAGAAAUACCAGCGAAGGCUGAAGUGCAGCCUGUCUGCCGUCAUGUUGCAAGAUGUCGGUGAGGCCAUUCAGUUCGAAGUCAGCAUCGGGAACUAUGGCAACAAGUUUGAUGCAACCUGUAACCCUUUGGCAUCAACAACUCAAUACAGCCGGGCAGUGUUUGAUGGUAA